rnacentral:rRNA from 1 species
AUUGAACGCUGGCGGCAGGCCUAUCACAUGCAAGUCGAACGGUAACAGGAAACAGCUUGCUGUUUCGCUGACGAGUGGCGGACGGGUGAGUAAUGUCUGGGAAACUGCCUGAUGGAGGGGGAUAACUACUGGAAACGGUAGCUAAUACCGCAUAACGUCGCAAGACCAAAGAGGGGGACCCUCGGGCCUCUUGCCAUCGGAUGUGCCCAGAUGGGAUUAGCUUGUUGGUGGGGUAACGGCUCACCAAGGCGACGAUCCCUAGCUGGUCUGAGAGGAUGACCAGCCACACUGGAACUGAGACACGGUCCAGACUCCUACGGGAGGCAGCAGUGGGGAAUAUUGCACAAUGGGCGCAAGCCUGAUGCAGCCAUGCCGCGUGUAUGAAGAAGGCCUUCGGGUUGUAAAGUACUUUCAGCGGGGAGGAAGGGAGUAAAGUUAAUACCUUUGCUCAUUGACGUUACCCGCAGAAGAAGCACCGGCUAACUCCGUG